rnacentral:rRNA from 1 species
CAAUAGCGUAUAUUAAAGUUGUUGUGGUUAAAAAGCUCGUAGUUGGAUCUCGGCAGGCAGGGGGUGGUUCGCUCUUAGCGCUACUGCCCCAUUUGCCUGUGUGAUUGGCGGAGGUUUCGGGGUGCUCUUCGUUGAGUGACCCGGGGCGCCGUCAGGUUUACUUUGAAAAAAUUAGAGUGCUCAAAGCAGGCUUUUCACGCUUGAAUAUUCGUGCAUGGAAUAAUGGAAUAGGAACUCGUUUCUAUUUUGUUGGUUUUCGGAAAUCGAGUUAAUGAUUAAUAGGGACAAUUGGGGGCAUUAGUAUUCAGACGACAGAGGUGAAAUUCUUGGACCGUCUGAAGACUAACUACUGCGAAAGCAUUUGCCAAGAGUGUUUUCAUUAA